rnacentral:rRNA from 1 species
UGCGUAGGUGGUUUAGUAAGUCAUUUGUUAAAUCUAUAGGUUCAACCUAUAGGCUGCGAGUGAAACUGCUAGACUCGAGGACGGGAGAGGUGAGUGGAAUGCCAGGUGUAGGGGUAAAAUCCGUUAAGAUCUGGUAGAACACCAAAUGCGAAGGCAACUCACUGGAACGUUCCUGACACUGUUGCACGAAAGCGUGGGUAGCGAAUG